rnacentral:rRNA from 1 species
AUACGGAGGGUGCGAGCGUUAAUCGGAAUUACUGGGCGUAAAGCGCGCGUAGGCGGUUUGUUAAGUCGGAUGUGAAAUCCCCGGGCUCAACCUGGGACCUGCAUCCGAUACUGGCAGGCUAGAGUCUACUAGAGGGGGGUAGAAUUCCUGGUGUAGCGGUGAAAUGCGUAGAUAUCAGGAGGAAUACCAGUGGCGAAGGCGGCCCCCUGGACUGAGACUGACGCUGAGGUGCGAAAGCGUGGGGAGCAAACAGAAGUAGAUACCCCAGUAGUCC